CCAGCCGCGGGCGCGCAAAGCGAGGCAGAGCCGAGCCGAGUGAGCCGAGCCGAGCCAGGCAAAAAGCAAGGCAAGGCCAGGCCAGGUAAGGGGGGGAGGCGGGACGGUGGGGGGAGGCACUCUGGGCUCGGCGCGGAGAGGGGGAGCCCGGGCUGGGCAGCCCCCUCCCCCUGCGAGGCGCGGGCACAGGCAGGCAGCAGGCAUCGGGGCGGGGCGGCCGGGGCGGGGCAGAGUCGGCUGGGAACAUCAUGGCUACUCUGGCCAACGGGCUAGCGCAGCAGCAGCAUCAGCAGCAGCAGCAACCUCCCCCCGGGCCCCCGCCCCCGCCGCCGCCGCCUCCUCCGCCUCCGCCGCCGCAGGCGGAGAGCGCUGCCUUCAGCACCACGAACAGCUCCGGGAGGAUGAACGGGCUGACGCACGGCGGCCAGGGCGCCAUCGCCAUGAAGGACCACGAUGCCAUCAAGCUCUUCGUCGGGCAGAUCCCGCGCAACCUGGAGGAGGGCGACUUGAAGCCGCUCUUCGAGGAAUUUGGCAAGAUCUACGAGCUCACCGUGCUCAAGGACCGCUUCACCGGCAUGCACAAAGGCUGUGCCUUUCUGACAUAUUGCGCCCGGGACUCUGCCCUGAAAGCCCAGAGUGCACUGCAUGAGCAGAAGACAUUGCCUGGGAUGAAUCGCCCAAUCCAAGUGAAGCCGGCGGACAGCGAGGGCCGAGGAGAAGACAGGAAGCUCUUUGUGGGCAUGCUGGGGAAGCAGCAGAGCGAGGAUGACGUCCGGCGACUCUUUGAGCCCUUUGGCCAGAUUGAAGAAUGCACCAUCCUCAGAGGCCCAGAUGGAGCCAGUAAAGGAUGUGCCUUUGUCAAAUAUGGGAGCCAUGCAGAAGCCCAAGCAGCUAUCAGCAGUCUCCACGGCAGCCAGACCAUGCCGGGCGCUUCCUCCAGCCUGGUGGUGAAGUUUGCCGACACAGACAAGGAGAGGACCCUGCGACGGAUGCACCAGAUGGCAGGACAGCUGGGGAUCUUUAAUCCCAUGACGAUCCAGUUUGGCGCCUACGGGGCAUAUACACAAGCGAUCAUGCAGCAGCAGCAGGCAGCCCUGAUGGCCGCAGCACAAGGAACCUGCCUCAACCCCAUGGCUGCCAUCGCAGCCGCUCAGAUGCAGCAGAUGGCUGCCUUCAACGUGAGCGGGCUGGUCGCUGCCCCCAUGACACCCUCAUCAGGUACAAGCACACCUCCAGGGAUCAGCACAGCCCCUGUCCCCAGCAUAGCCACACCCAUCGGGGUGAAUGGAUUCAGCCCUCUCCCACCCCAGACCAAUGGGCAGCCAGCAUCAGAAACUAUUUACACCAAUGGCAUCCAUCCAUACCCAGCUCAAAGUCCCACUGUGGCAGACCCCCUCCAACAAGCCUACGCAGGCAUGCAGCACUAUGCAGCAGCAUAUCCAGCCGCCUAUGCACCGAUCAGCCAGGCCUUCCCCCAGCAAGCACCCAUCAUCCCCCAGCAGCAAAGAGAAGCUACCUGCUUUGAUUGUAAUCAGUGGUGUCAAUCUCAUCAACAAGGUCCUGAAGGAUGUAACCUCUUCAUUUAUCACCUGCCCCAGGAGUUUGGGGAUGCAGAGCUUAUGCAGAUGUUUUUGCCAUUUGGCAAUGUCAUCUCUGCCAAAGUCUUUGUUGACCGGGCCACCAACCAAAGUAAAUGCUUUGGUUUCGUUAGUUUCGACAAUCCAACUAGUGCUCAGGCAGCCAUUCAGGCCAUGAACGGCUUCCAGAUCGGCAUGAAGAGGCUAAAGGUACAACUAAAGCGGCCAAAAGAUGCCAACAGACCCUACUGAGCCCUGCUCACCCUGGCCCUGGAAACAGACCAGGCCAAUCAUAGCUCCAAGAUGACCCCACAGUUGCCUAGCAACCCUCUAGCUGUUAUGGGAGACCCAAACAAAAACUCCCCCUCCCAAAUUAUCAGAAACUAUUGAAUGCCAUGCGGCAUACGAAGAGUAUUCCCCUUGUCCCAAGUGCAGUAUCCAGACUUGUAACUCUCUUUCUUUGCAACAUAUCAUGGAGGUGGAGGCGGCAGCGGCGAAAGCGGAGGAGAGAUGCGAAUGAAAAAGAGAGCCAGUUUGGUUGUACCUUUCUUUUCUUUCUUUCUUUCUUUCUUUUUUUGAUUUCCAAAACGAGUUGGGUUUUGUCUCUUUAAGGCGUGAGAAAGCAAAGAAGCUGUUGUGGUGACCGUGUUGGACAAGAGGGGGAAAAGAGGCAUGGAUCUUUGCUGACUCAAAACUCCAUGACAGGAAGAGGCCUCUGGAGAAGACCUUUUUUUUCCAGCCCCUCGCCACCAGAGGGGUGAGAUGGUGUGAGAGGGAAGGUCGCGGGCGCUCGGCCUGCUGGUGUGACCUGCCUCUCUCGAGCACUUGUCCGAUGCGAGAGACUUCGUAUGAGGGAGGCCAAGCAGAUCUAAACCAAAGCCGGUGGGUUUGGACCAGGCCGAUACGUCACACCUGGGAAAUGCUUUGUUUUUAAAGGGGAAAGCGGAAAAAACCAAGGGAUUUUUUCCCCCACCUCUGUUUGGGAAAAGAAAAUCAAAUGCUAAGAAGAUGUUGAACUUAACAGAAGAUAUAUAUAUAUAAAUAGGUCUAUAUAUCUAUAUCCCAUGGAUUGGGGGUGGGGGUUUCUUCUCCACUUUGUCCACCAGUUCAGGGAGAUUGGAUUAACUUCUUUCAAAGUCAUAUCAUUCCUUAGAGUUUAGGGACCAAAGGACUAUUGCUUUUUUAAUAUAUAUAUAAAUUAAUUAAUUUAAAAAACAAAACAAAUGAAAAAAAAGAAACUCAAAGAGGUUUAAAAAAAAAAAAAGCUUCAUGUCAAAGCUCCAAGUGUUUCCAAGAGAAGCAAGUGCAAGUGCGCAAGCAAGCAGAUGUGGCUUUGUGCGCCAGUGUGGCAUGUACCCAUGGCCUCGGGACCGCAUCGGACGCUGGAGGGGGCCGAGGGAGCGGAGAAGCUGGCAGGAAGGGCCAUUUGGGCGGGCUUCGCGGUCACUGUGGCUCUCUCCUCCUCUUUCCAGGUAGAACCUUGGCUUUCAGAAAAUGGGUGGGUGGGAAAUGUCAUUGCAGCCCCUGACCUGCUCCUCCCAUGCUUCAGAAGGAAACAUCAGCCAGUGUGAGAAGAGACACAGGGCCAUCAUUUUCAUCCCUGUACGGAGUCAAUCCAAAUUACUAGCUUCUUCUGUACCAGGACCGGAAAAUGGUGGCAUCCGUAUCUCAACAGUGGCUGGGGCUCUCCAUCAUUUUCAGUGAGUGGGUGCAGCAUCACGAGGAACCUACUUGCAGUCUUGGUCACCCAGUCGGGUUACAAUCUCAGUUACCCAGUUGUCUGUGACGGUGUGAACCCGCUCUAUGUCGGGAGCUACCAUGUUCCUUCGGGGCAGGAAACCUAGAUGGGGAACCCAGAAUUGAACUUGGGUUUCCACCCCAGUAAUGCUCUGCCAUAGCUUUGCCCUGCUUUUGGGCCCCUGCUUUUUAUGAACUCUGGUAUUCUGGGGGCCAGUCCCCUUUCACAUCGGGGCCAAGGGCUGCAAAGGGGCUGAUGUCGGGAAGCUUACCAGUCACAGGGAAGUGCAAGGUUGGGAUGGCGCCCAGGGUCUUCCUGGGAGGUGCAGGGAGGGGGGCAAACCUCUGGUUCAAUUCGGCAACUUCCAGCAAACCAAGGUCCUUGACUGUCUGCCCUGCCAACUUCAAGUUCCUGCCAUAUCUCAUGCUGGGAGAACCAUAGGUUCCCCAAAUACGUGUCAAUCCACCCAGUGAGCCCUUUCUCAUGAUCCGUGAGAAAGGGCUUGAAGGGGCAGGGGAGGAAACCUCGAAAAGCUCACUCCCCGCAGAUGAUCUCCGUCACUUUGCUUGGUGGGUCGAUCACCCGCCCAGAUUAUUGCCGGCUUCUGCCGGCAGCUGGGAGGUUUCGGGAAGCUUCCGGACCUGCCCGUAAGGCACUGAGCAGGGGUUAUUAUGGGGAUUCCCCCAACGCCGGCCGAGAGCCCCACAUUCUCCCUGGUGGACAACUUUUAAAAAUGGGCUUGCUCCCUAACCUCAUUUUAAAGGCAGGUUAGGAGGCAGGUUUGCGUCUUGGACCCACAUGGCGCCCAGCGGUUCUGCCGCUCAGCCCAGAGCGGGCUUCUCUUUCUUAGCCCGGCUUUGGCUGAGUGUCAGAACGGCCUCAGUGUCUCCUACCGCUCCCCUUCCAAUCUGCUUGGACACCCCAAGAGCGAUGUCAAAAAGCUAGAUACCGAGUUGAAGUCUGCUUCUCCAUCUGUCCCCUGGAAGGGCAAAUUUGAAAAAUGGCUUCAUCCAGCAGAUUGGCUACAGAGAGCUUUAUUCCAUUUCCAUCCUACCCUCCCUUACCAGAGUUCAAGGCGACACAGCUGAUUCUCCCCGACACCUUCAUCCUCACAACAACCCUGUGAGGUAGGCUAGGCUGAGAGAGACUGGGCCAAGGCCACCCAGGAAGCUUCAGGGCUGAGUGGAGAUUUGAACCUGUGUCUCCCUAGUCGAAGUCAAGCACUCUGCGGUUGCACUGCACUGGCUCUGUGGAGCUGCGUUCCUGCAGGCCCCCCUCAUCCAUUUCAGCAGACGCCAAGAACCAUAAACUUUCUCCUCCAGCUUGUCCCUUUACCCCUGAUACGAUCUGGAACGGGAUCCUGUUGUGCCUCAGCUUUGCAAGCACUAGCCCAGGGCUUCUCAGCCAGAUGUUUUUGGAUUACAACUCCCAUGAUCCCCUUUGACUGCUGUGGCUAGGGAGGAUGGGAGUUGUACUCCCAUCAGCAACUUCUGGGAGGCUGAGCUUGAGAAGCCCUGAACUAGCCAGUGUUGGGGCAGUACCUGUUAGGGGCAGAAGGAGAGCUCAGUCUUGUCUUCACAGACUGGUAGCGACUUCUCCAAGGUUGCAGGCAGGAAUCUCUCUCAGCCCUGUAUUGGAGAUGCUGCCAGGGAGGGAACUUGGAACCUUCUGCUCUUCCCAAAGCGGCUCCAUCCCCUGAGAGGAAUAUCUUCCAUUGCUCACACUUCUAGUCUCCCAUUCAUCUGCAACCAGGGUGGCCCCUGCUUAGCUAAGGGGACAAGUCAUGCUGGCUCCCACCAGACCAGCUCUCCCCUUGGUCCAUCUAGCACACUACACUGACUGGCAUCAGCUCUCCAAGAUUUCAGGCAGAGUCUUUCCCGACCUGGAGAUGCUGCCAGGGAUUGAACCUGGGUCUUUCUGCAUGCAAGCAGAUUCUCUGCCUCUGAGCUGUGCCACUGAGAUGUCCCUAGUAGAUACCAUGUGUUAUUAGGCAAUUGAGCCACAAGAGCUCAAUAGAGGAGAAAGUCUAAGCAUGAUGCUUGUGGGACCCAUGACUCUUCCGCCCCCUUUUGCUUUGCCUUUCUAAUGCCAGACACCAUAAGCCUAAGGGUGAAGACUGCCCAUCGUAUUUGAUGCAAAGACAAGAAAAAAGCACAUUUCUCAUUUCUUCCAAAGAGGAAAUCUUUUGUGCCCAACCCCAUCCCUCUUCACAUGCUCCCUUUUCCCUGUUGAGCGGAACAUUUGGGCCAGAGAGCCCUGGAGUCUUUUUAAGUAUUUGCAGAGAGAGAGAGAGAGAUUGUAAGGCAGGAGUGACCAUCACAAGGGCUUGGCUGCAGGCAGAAUCGGAGCAGAACGUGGGGCCCACAAGCUCAGAUCACAUCAGGCUGUUCUGCCAGGCCGCAGCCCCUGCCAUAUAUGAAGAACCGCUCCCGUUGUGAGAUCCGUUCCCUGUGUUUGAUUCCCCAGAAGACCUGUGCCUUCAGUCUGGCUUCUCCGUAAAAGCACAUGCGGAGCAGAGUUCCCUCUAACGGCGAUUCCCAGAUGUCGUUGACUACAACUCCCAGAAUUCCCACACAAAAGCCAUUAUAGCCGGGGAUUCUGGGAGUUGUAGUCAGCAACAUCUGGGAAUCCCUGUUAGAGGGAACACCGACAUGGAGUGUUCCUUGUGUAGACAAAGGGCUCCCACUCACCUCUUGGAUUGAACCCGGAACCAAGGAGUCAGUGGGAGCUGCAGGAUUAUUUUGCCCUUAACAACACACACACACACACACACACACCCCUUUUGAGUAGUCUUUUUGUCUGGAUAACAGUGAAGCACCAUAAGACCGUAAAAGCAGCCCUGCUGGAUCAGGCCCAAGGAAGCCCAUCUAGUCCAGCAUCCUGUUUCACACAGUGGCUCAGCAGACGCCUCUGGGGUGCCCACAGGCAAGAGGCGAGGGCUACCUUGAUACUGCCACAAAAAUUAAGACCACUAGCCUUUCAAGCAAUGGUCAUAAUAAUAAUGGCAACAGAUUGAUAAUUGGUUUAAAUGUUAUUAUCCCAAAGCAGAAGACAAUGGGCAGACAGCCUGACUGAACGCUUGCACAAAUUUGCACUGAUGCAAGAAGGUUGCACAGUCAUGCAAAGCUGUGCUCCAUGAUGUUGCACAACAGCCAUAGAAAUAGGCCCUUCCAUACUGCUAUAAGUAAAGUAAAGUAUGCCUUCAAGUCGGUGUUGACUCCUGGCGCCCACAGAGCCCUGCGGUUGUCUUGGGUAGAAUACAGGAGGGGUUUACCAUUGCCUCCUCCCAUGCAGUAUGAAAUGAUACCUUUCAGCAUCUUCCUAUAUCGCUGCUGCCUGAGAUAGUACCAGCGGGGAUUUGAACCGGCAACCUUCUGCUUGUUAGUCAAGCAUUUCCCCACUGUGCCAUUAGGUGGUUCCCAUACUGCAAUACACUGUAUAUAUAUUAUUUUUAAAAAAACAACAACAACACCAAUGUUAAGUUAUAAUGUAUAUUGACAUUACAUCAAGCAGGUGGGGGGAAGGAUGAAGUGUGGUGUUCCAAAAUGUAACAAAUAUAAUCAAUUUUCCCUAAAUUCAUCUACUUCUUUUUCAUCCUGUUAAGGACUGUUAGUUUUCCAAAUUUUCAAAUACCAAUCUGACAGUGGGGGGAAGAGCAACUUUUUUCCAUAACUCGAUAUGUAAAUUUUAAGAGAUUUUAGAAUUUUACCACUCAGAUGUUGCUUCAGAGUUUGCAGAGGUAUGGGCCAUAAUAUGCAGUUUAGAAGGCCUCCCCCAACUUACCUUGAUUUCACAGGAAAGGAGAGCCGGUCUUGUGGUAGCAAGCAUGGCUUGUCCCUUUAGCUAAGCAGGGUCUGCCCUGGUUGCACACGAAGUGUGAGCACUGCAAGAUAUUCCCCUUUGGAGAUGGAGCUGCUCUAAGAAGAGCAGAAGGUUCCAAGUUCCCUCCCUGGCAGCAUCUCCAAGAGAGAGCUGAGAGAGAUUCCUGCCUGCAGCCUUGGAGAAGCCGCUGCCAGUCUGCGUAGACAAUACUGAGCUAGAUGGACCAACCGUCUGACUCGGUAUAUGGCAGCUCCCUAUGUAAAAACACCUGUGUUUGCAGCCAGUGAAGAAAGAAGGCAGCAAAAGCAAGCUGCAAUUUCCCCACAGUUCCUAGGACAGCAUGUGAAGGUAAGGGAGCCUCUCCCAAUUGCCUGAGCAAUUGGGUCAACACAUCCUUACCUUCCAGUUGUUCAAGAGCUGGGAGCUGUCCACAGUGCUGAAAGAUGGGCAAAAUCCAGCCUUUUAAACCCAAAUUAACAGAAAGGCUAUACAAAGUUGGAGCUGAUGUUUCAGCCCAGCCAUUUUUUAAAAAUAAGUGAUGAGUCCGUUUCUUCUGUAGCAUUCCUUUAUUGUUUCCAAAUUUCACAAUAUUGUCGUUCAGUUCUUCCUGAAUUCCAGUUUAACUAAGAGACUUUCUAAAAUUCUAGAAUUGGUGUAUGCACAAUUUCACCUCAUUUUAUUUAUUAUUAUUUAUUUAUCAUAUUUCUAUUCUGCCUGAUAUAGACCUCUCUAGGCAGUGUAUAAAGUUAAAACAUAAUAAAUGUAAAAUCAGUAUAAAAGAGUUAAAAUUUAUAAAACAGAUAAAAAAAUCUCAGUGAACAAAAACAUUAAAGAAGAUUUAAAUCUCAGUUAAAGGCUGGGAAAUACAGAUACGUCUUAAGGGUCUUCCCAAGAGAAAGUCGAGAGGGAGAUGCUCUUAUUUUAACAGGGAGUGUGUUCCAGAGUGCAUCUUCCCCUUGCACAUCUUCCAUGUGCAUCUUCCUCUCUCCCUUAUACUGAGUCAAACCAUUGGUCCAUCUAGCUCAGGAUUAUGGACACUGCCUGGCAAUGGUUCUCUAAGGUUUCAAACAGGAGUCUUUCCCAGCCCUACCUGGAGAUGCUGCCAAGGAGUGAACCUGGGAGAUUCUUCAUACAAAGCUCUACCAAAGUCCAGGACCUCAAACAGCCCCUGGGCCCCCCCAAAUAAUCUUCAGUCUGUCCUGGGUGUUAUGUUCGCCCGGUGGAGCAUGGUGAUGCAUCAUUUGCAGAGGAGGGGGCCUCCAAAGGCCUUUAGGUCCAGACUCCAAAAUUACCUAGGUCCACCUCUGCUUGCUUCCACAUACUCACUUCCACCCAGCUUUUCCUCCUACCUUGCUUCCACACAACCAGAAAUUGGGAGCACACACAACUCCCAAACCCAAUUAACCCUGUUUUUAAUUGUGUGAAUGCAUUUAAACUAGUUUUGAUAUGCCACUGCCUUGUGGCAUACUUGGGGGGUUAGGGGAGCUUUAGCCCUCCCCUGCCAUGGUCCCGGUCUGGGUCAGAUCCCACCCACCGACCCCACCCCCACAUACAUAUACUACUACUGCUAUGAAUAUUUAUAUACCAAAGUUCUCAAAGCAGAAAAAGAAAUAAUAAAUAAGAUCCAUCCACCCCCCGCCGUCCCCAAAAGGCUCACAGUCCAAAAUGAAGCAUAAGGCAGAUACCAGCAACAGCCACUGGAGGGAUGCUGUGCCGAGGUUGGAUAGGGCCAGUUGCUCUCCCCCUGCUAAAUGGAAGAGAAAUCGCCAGUUUAAAAGAUGUCUCUGCUCAGUUCGUAGGAGUACGAUCUUCCCUGGGGAGAAAAGCUUUCAUUGGCUCCAGCCAGGGCAAAUCACAUGCAUGGUGAGGCAUGAUCCACAUCGAGACCCUGGUGGGAACAUCAGGUUAAAACCUCUUGCCGGUCACAAUUUGAAUUGGGCAUGUGCUAUUUGCACACAAAGAGCAAGCACGCCAGAGUCAGUGGCUUGACCGAUGUCCCGACUUCUUUGAUCUUUUCUUCCGAGAAGCUGAUGGAGAGGAGGAGGUCAGGGGUUGUGGUGGGGAUGGGGCGGGGGGCAAGAUUAAGAAAGUGCCAAAUAGAAGGAAAGGAAGUCAAGGCGCAUGAAGGACCUGGAGUUGUUGCGUCGCCCUUCAUGGUUCACAUUCCCUGAUGCGGUCGCUUGGCCUCUGGAUUUCUUUCCUUUUCCUCCUUUCUUUCCUUUUCCCCUUUUUUGUGCUUCAUUGUUAACAUUUCCUAGUGAUUUAGAACAGAAUGCUUUUUGUAGAGCGGUUAGCGUUUAAACAUAGGAGAGCCCUCCAUUUGAAACAAAGGAAACCUAAAAACAAGACAACAACAACAAAAAAGACAAUCGACUUGAGUGACCUUGUGAAAGUGACUUUUUUUAAUAUAACAAAAAAGCAAAACAAAAUGGGGAGGGGGGAUCACAUGACACUGAGAGACCCAAAUUGGGGUGGGUGGGGCGGUGGGGUACUGAGACAUGAUUGCAGAGUUAUGGGCGGCUGUGUGAAAUGGGUGGGAGUGGGAGAUGGGGAAGAGUUGGGACAGGGUCUGGCUGGCUCCACUGGGUGAUGAUGGGAAGGAAAUGCAUGGACUGGAAAGGGCUGGCCCCCUCUGGGAUAACUGGUCUGCGGAGUCCAGGGACCCAUUUCCACACGGUCAAAACCAGAGCGGCAUUGGCUGUGUUUCCCCAGGCAUUCUCUGGAAAGCUGAAAAGUGGGAUAUGUGUCUUAAGAAUGGGGUAGGGGUUGUGUUGAGAUCCUAGCUAUUAUUAGUUCUAAGAACUAUCUCUAUAAAGGCCCUGACCUACCAGGAGACCCACCACACACACACACACACACACACACACAAAACUGCCUUUUAAAGUGGUGCAGCCCAUUCGACCAUUCGAUUUCUAUCCCGCCCUUCCAAAAAUGGCUCAGGGCAGUUUACACAGAGAAAUAAUAAAUAAAUAAGAUGGCUCCCUGUCUCCAAAGGGCUCACAAUCUAAAAAGAAACAUAAGGAAGACACCAGCAACAGUCACUGGAGGUCCUGUGCUGGGGGUGGAUAGGGCCAGUUACUCUCCCCCUGCUAAAUAAAGAGAAUCACCACGAUAAAAGGUGCCUCUUGCCCAGUUUGCAGGGGAUAGAGUAUCUCCUGCCAGUUAGAAUAUUUAUGCAUUUUAAAAAAAAUUAAUUAUCUAAUUUCAUAUGGGAGAGCAACUUUCUUUGGGCACAGGGGCUCAAACACUGAAACUAUUCUGAUAUAUUCAGCAAUGGGUGGUCUGCAUUUUGAAAUAGCCCUGCUCCAGUAGGCUGUGGCUAUUAUAUGCUUGCAUAUAUUUGGAAGGAAUAUGCAAAUGAACCCACCCACCCCUUCCCCGCCCAUUCUGUCUGGGAGGGGUGGCAUCCACCCUUUCCAUUUCCAAAGAGCCAGGUCAUUUGCUGUGGGGGGAAAUCCAUUUUUCCAAGGAUUUUCUCCCAAAUCAUGAUGCUUUCGGAGUGGUGGCAUCUCUGAGUGCUUGCUAAAUUGGGCCUGAAUACAUACAAAUAGGACAAAUAUGUAUAUACUGCUUUUCAACAUAAUGUUCCCAAAGCAGUUUACAUAGAUAUCCAUACAUAAAUAAUAUGGUUCCUUGUCCCCAAAGGGCUCACAAUCUAAAAAAGAAACAUAAGACAGUAGCCACCGCCACUGGAGGGAUGCUGUGCUGGGGAUGGAUAGGGCCAGUGGCUCUCCCCGUGCUCAAUAAAGAGAAUCACCACUUUGAAAAGGGGCCUCUUUGCUCUGAUAGCUUCAUACAGUCUGUGCGAACAAGGGAGGCAGGGAGGCGGGCAGUCUGCAGCACUGACCCCAUUGGGUGGACCCACCCCCCCUGGCCUCGACCUCAUUGGACGGCCUGUGUUGACUGCAUACAGUCGCCCAAUCGUAUCUCCACCCCCAGUUCCAGGAGCAUUAGUAACUCCCCACCUUGCUCAAAUCGAAGCAGUCCCUUCCUGCCUAUUCCACUUCCCAAUACCCCUUUCAUAGCAGUGGGAAUUCUCUGUGUCUGUGAUCAGGGAAGGUGGCCGUAUAUCAACUCAGAGCUGGUUCUUCCUUUAAAGCAGGAUGUCAGUUUCAAGUGGGACAAAGGGCCAGGUUCUCCGCUCGGCUGUCGUCUAGUGGGGGUUAUACCCAUCACAAAGAAGAGAGUGCCUUGGAGCACGUGCAGAGAAACCUGCUCUUGCUAGCACUGGCUACUGUUAUGGCACAUGUGCUGGACAAGUGGCUAUGAGUCUCUUUGCCUUUGUGUACGUGGAAAGAAACAGGCCUUCACUGUCGUUUUCGGCCAUAGAUGGCGCAAGGGUCAGAGAGAUCUUUUUUUUUUUAAAAAAAAAAUCUUCCAAGAACUCUGUUUGGUGUUGCUGUUUGGGCAUACGAAUAUGAAUACGAUGAAUAUUUACAUACGGCUUCUCAACCAAAGUUCCCCAAGUGGUCUACAUCGAUAUUAAUUAAUUAAUUAAAUGGCUCCCUGUCCCCAAAGAGCUCACAAUCUUUUUUAAAACAAAAAACAAAAAAAACCCACCAAAAAAACAUAAGAUAGACACCAGCAACCGUCACUGGAGGGAUGCUGUGCUGGGGACGGAUAGGGCCAGUUGCUCUCCCCCUGCUAAAUAAAGAGACGCACCCCUUUUAAAGGGUGCCUCUUUGCUCAGUUAGCAGAGAAUUCUACCCAGCAGCAGUGGCAAGUAUCAGAAGAGAGCUGUUGAGCAUUUGAGGUUCGCUUCUGAGGCGCCACGUCCCUGCAGGAACAGCCAUUGGUUCUAAAGAAGUAUUUGCAAAGAGAUCUCCUAAUCCUUCGCCACCAUCACUAAAAUGGUGGUGGAAUUGUACAGGUGCGGGCUGGAUUCCGAUCAGAUUCCUGAACCACUUGUCUUGGCAUCCUCUGCUUUGAAGGGCCCAGGGCUGGGGGGUGUGCCAUCGGAUUUCUGCAGCUUAUCUUUCUAGGUGAGAAUCCAAACAGCCAUGAUCUCCCAGUCACACUGUGACAGCCUUUGCUCCUGUGUGUGUCCCCCACUUCCCCCUUUGGUUUCUGCUUCUGGUGACUGCCAGCUAUGCACAGCAGCUGUAUAUAACAAGAUCGCUUUUAAAAAUGCAAUUUGAUGGACUGACUUUAUGCACUCGGAGUUCACACAUGCAAGAGAUUCCGUUGGGUUUGUGUGACAAAAAGGAAGUGGGCGGGCGAGCUGUGUCCUAAAGACACCUGCUGUUUGGGCAUGAAGUCCCCUGCGGUGGUGGGGACAAGGGGAAGGGUGGGGGGUUGUCUUUAAAGGAGGGGGUGGGCGAUGGGCAAAUGGUCGGUACCACCUGCUCAUUAGAUCCUUAUCAGCCCAGAAUAGAGUUUGGUCCAUGGGGAAAGAAGAGGGCUCAACUUUAUUAAACAGCUCUUCUUGAAAAACAGUCCCUAGACAUAGACAAUCCCCUCUGAAGAGAGAGUCUGGAGAUGACAGGCGCUGCGAUCCCUGCCGGAUGGGUUUUCCGCCUGCACUGCUUAGCUAUGGAAGACAGGGGUUCCCACCCUUGAGUCUUCAGGCAGUGUUGGACUACAACUCCCAUCGGCCCCAGCCACAGUGGCCCUUGACCAGUGUGACUGGGGAUGAUGGGAGUUGUAGUGUUGAACUACAGGGGACGCAGGUUGAGAAGUUCUGGUUAAGAGACUAUGACGUCUUGGCCUUUAGUUAAACAGCUAGUUAAGAGAAGGUGUUGGGGCAUUUCCUGCAUGUGCAUCAGCCCUGACCUCACCCUAACCAUCUCAUCGCUACCUUCAACUCCCACAGAGCACAAAGCAGUGACUGCCGUUUCGAAGGGCUACCUUUUUGCUGCCAUCAUAUUUUGCUACCUUUGGAGAGAGGCUUGGGGUGGACACUGUAGGAGGGUUCUUAUUGCAAAGCUACCUCUGACCUCAAGGCUGAUCUGCCCCUCCCUUCUCACUCACAUGACCCUGAGCCUCACUCCAUGCUUGCCAUGUGCUGCCUCCCGGAAGCAGAAAUUGCCAUGAGGUUUCCAAGACGAAGCCUUGGGAGUGUCUGUUCUUCAGCUCAUGUGAUCGCUCAUCUGUCACUGCUGCUCCUCCUCCCAGCACGAGGCUGGGAUGUCCAUAAUGGGGGUGAUGCUGAUGCCCAUGAUUGUGGUGUGAGACCAUUUAAAUCUGUGCACACCUAAGCAAUGGUUCUUGAAGGUGUGGAGGAAUCAGCCUGCAAUGCCAGGGCUUGCUGGAGUCAGAGAUGGGCACAGUAGGGAUGUGCAAAUUUCAAUCGAUUCAAAUCUGGGUGGUUCAAAUUUGAAUCAAAUCACCCCUUCAAAGGGUAAUUGGCAACAAAUCUUUGAAAUUCAAUUCUAAUUUGAUUCAAGAGCCAUGUGGCAGCUUUUAAAAAACUAUUCAGGCCCCCUGAUUGGGUUUAAAAAAGAUGCAAACAUUGUCAAAUCAAUUUGAAUUUGAUUCAAAUUCAAAUUGAAUUUUUGGAUCCGAUUCAAAUUUGACUUGAAUCUGAAAUGAAUUUUCGGAAUUUGAUUUGUAUUCUAAACAAGUCAAAAAAUUCAUUUCAUGCACAUCUCUACCUAGCAGUUGUGUCAAAAACCAACCCUGGGUGUCGGAAUUUGAGUAUUGGGUGUCCUGUGCUUUGCUCUGUGCCUGCUGCCUGGUUGAAGACGAGGGUGCUGUGGGCAUGAAGAAGAGUGCCUUCCCUUUACUGGUCACUUCCUACAGCCACCUCUCCCACGUCAGGGAUUGUAGGAGUUGAUCUUCCAAGUCAGAGAAUGCAUCUCUCCAGUUAAUCUUUUUCACCCCUUAGGGCCAGGUUUCUCAACCUUGGGUCCCCAGAUGUCCACCAAUUUGUUCUUCAGGCAUUAGUCCCUAAUGCAGUUUGGUUUCCCAGAUGUUGGACUGCAACUCCCAUCAUCCAGGUCAUUGGGGCCGGGGAUAAUGGGAGUCGUCGUCCAACAUCUGGAGAACCAAACUGCAUUAGAUACUAAUGCCAAAUACCAAACUGGGGGACCUUUGCAUUAAGUACUAGUGGGAAUCUGGUUGCCAUUUCCUGGUGCAGAGACUACCUAUUUGUGUGUGUGUGUGUGUGAGUGUGUGUGUGUUGCAUUCUAGGGGCAUACAAACCAAUGGUACCAGUGUGGGGCUUUUUGCCCGGCUUGCCAGUCUUCUUUUAUGGCUACUGUAAUAUGCAGGGCAACAGAUCAGCUCUUUAACAGACUGUUAAAUCUGUGUGCACCUACAGAAAUGGUUCUUGAAGAUUGGAGAGGGGACCAUCUGGCUAUCCUCCCACCAACGAGUGAGAAAGAUGACAACUGAGCAAUGCCUUUUUCAUUCUACAGCUCUUAACGGAACAGUAGCACCCAUAGAUGACUAGGGUUGAUUCCUAAGGUGACAGAGGGCGAUCUCUUGGUUGAUCUCUAAGCGGAUCCAUUUGCCAUUCUAAACCUCUCGCCCUUGCCUCCAGUCUCUGCAUAGGUGAUGAGCAUAGACUGCUCACGACACCCCCAGAAAUGGAAUCACUCAUGAGGCUUCUUGCUCCUAACCCCACAGGGCUGGUAUUGACCUCCCUUCUGAAGCAUUUGCAAAGCAUGUCCUCAGUCUUUCAAGAUUGCCCCACCAGGGAAGGUAUGCAGGGUACAUGAAGGCCACACGUCGGAAGAGAGCAAGGAGGGAAGGGUGCCUCUUCCAGACCGUAGGUGUUUGAGUUGGGCCCUAGAGACGCUAAAGCAAACCCCAAUGCAGCCCCCUGUAGAAGGCACAAGAGCUGAAGGAGAGCUUAUGCCAACAUUUCAUGCACACGUCAUGACAUGAAAGCCAUCGUGUCCCAAAUAUGUGGCGAGGUGAUGUCGAAAGAUGUGCUUGAGGAAGUUACGUGGGAAAUUCCACCCAACAGCCUAAGUAUUUGUUUCCAGAAAUAAGCUUGGGUGCACCUUAGGUCUAUAGGGCAGGUGGGGGGGGGGGUUCCCUUCAGUCUCAACCAUCUCAUGGUCCUUUGCAGCACAUGCUUUUAAAAAAACAGAUGGCUCUCUUCAACCCCCACCCCCACCGCAGCCUAAAGGGGGUGACUUCAGCAGCUGUUAGCAGUCACAUCUCCCAAAUGCAACCCCGCCCCCAAAUGUAAUCUGUGCCUAGCAAAAGCAAGGAGAACCUGAUCCAUAGGAAGGGUAUUGGGAGAGGUAAGUAUGACCCAAGGAGAAGUGGAACAUCUCAACAAGGAUUGAGGAGGCCCCAUUGUGCCCCCCAUAGACAAAGCCUGUUAGCCACCUAGCCAGAAGCUGAGCCAACGAACUCCUUCAUUCUAGUGAGCCCAGCUUAUCAGUGGGCCUAAUUGCUCAUCAGAGGUGCUCUUACCCCUGGAUUUAGGGGCCAAAGUCCAGGACCUCCACAGCCCCUGGGGGCCCCCAAAUCCUAUUUGGUCUGUGCUGGGUGGUGUGGUCUUCCGGCCAAGCAUGAUGAUGCCUAAUUUGCAGGGUAGGGAGGCCUCCAAAGGCCUUUAGGUCCAGGGUCCAAAAUUACCUAGGUACACCUCAGCUGCUCAUCUACAAGGUGCCCUGUAGAUGUUCUGUGAUGACUACUCGUGCCCAGCUGAGGUCUCGUCCAUUCUUUGGGCAUUCCUCUACCUUUUCCAUUGAGUGGCUAUUCGGAAGGGACACUUCUUCUCCACUCCCCCCCCCCAAACAAAAAACAAAACAGGGCUUUCUGUUUCUGUCAUUCCAAAAGGAGCGUUUCCUCCCUGGUGGGAGCAGCGUUGGCAUUCCAGUGGAUUAUGAUUCUUUUGACUGAUCCUUCUUAUGAUUUCUUGUAGUAUAAUAAAGAACAACAAAUGGACAUUGUUAUCUCUGUAGCUCUGUAGUUAAUGAUAUUCUGCUUAGACUGAAAUAAAGCACAGUCCAGUGGGAAUUUGC